AAGAACCAGGCUUUUGUGGAAGAAAAAUCUCUCUUGGAUCCAAGAGCAGGCCCCAGCUCCCCCAGGGAUUGUUACUUUGCCUUUUGGGCCAAAGGACCUCUUCGUAUAACCUCUUAGGACUGACUCUGAAUGCAACCUGGAGGCUGUUGUCUGUCCAGCUUCAGACGUUGCCCACCCUGAUGGAUGCAGAAAUAUCAAAACAAAGUCCUCUCUUCUUUUCUCCCUCACAUUUGUUGAGAAUAAUGGCAAGCAGAUCUAUGUGAAUCCAGCAGUGACUUGGGUACAAAGGGCGAUGCCCAUUUUGCAAGAAAAGAAGUAAAGAGAAUUGCGGAGAAACAGAGGUCACCCUCGCUCAACCACAAAAAGAGAUGCUGAGCAACAAGCUAACCUGUUCCCUGAUUCUUCUUCUACUUGUCUCCUUGCAUUACAAUCUAUAAACAGAGUACAAUUUGUAUUUGGGAAAUCCCCAUGCAUUUAGCAAGGAGUGGAAUAUUAGGAGUUAUCACUUUUGACACCAUUGAGCUUGAUACAGUACUUUUACUUUGAGAUUAGGAUUCACUUUUUCUUUCAUUUUGAGAAUUAAAAUAAUAUAUUGAAGAUCCAACUUUAUUCCACUGGAGUUUUGUCAAAUGCUCCAGAGACCGCAUCUGCCAUUGCUAUGUCUUUGCCAGGUUUUUUCAACUUAUUUCCAGAUUGUACAGUUGCAAUGAAAGGAAUAAUUUGUGUGUGUUUGCCUGCCUGCCUGCUUGCCUGUCUGGCAGCCAAGUGCUAUUUUGCAUUUCAUUCCAAAGGCUUAUGUUGCAUUUCAAUUACUGCUAGAUUCCAUUACAUGAUUUUGUACGUCUUUAGACUACUUCCUAUAUUUUUUAAAAUGGGAAAUUUCUAAGGCUAAAGAGAUGUGAUACUCAGCUUCAUAACCCUCAGUCCUCCAUAUCCAGUAUCUCUAACAAAUGUACUGAAUUAAUUUUGGUUGCACAGUGGGGAGCUACAAGGAGCAAUGUGCAAGAAACCAGAGAUGUCUACAGUUGAAAGAACAAGUUUAAUAACACACAUACACACACACAGCUCAAACAAGAAGUUUGUUCAUUCAUUUUUUUUAAAAAUCCGUGUGAAGGAUCUAAACCAGCAGUUCUCAACCUGUGGGU